rnacentral:tRNA from 1 species
GGGAAUGUGGCUUAGUGGUAGAGUACUUGCCUAGCAUGCAAUUUCUGGGUUCAAUUCCUCUGUACCA